GUUGCAACUAUAUUGAAUCCCUAUUAGGGAUUGAAAC
rfam:Planktothricoides sp. SR001 contig_5, whole genome shotgun sequence.